UGGUUCUCGUACGAUCACUGAAGUUAAGCAACAUCAAGCUUUGUCAGUACCUGGAUGGGUGACCACUUAGGAAUACCAUGGGCUGUAAG